AGUGGCUCAAUGGAGAAGGGGGGUAUGAUGUACUCUGUGUAAGAGUAUUUUUUGUCAUGCAAUAGCUGCCAGUCAACAGGCGGCGAAAGACGACACUGUUUUUUUGAGACUACACGUCUUGGAACACACACACACACGCGCACGUACGUACACACGCGCGCGCCACAACACACACAGAAAAGCACACAAACACAUACACAAAUUCUAUCCCAUAAACCAAACAGAGCCCCCGAACGAAGACUUGAAGACAAAUAAUGCUAUUUCCAAAUAACUGCCAGUCAGAGCAGCAUUCAUCAACACCAAAGGCACCAGGAGAUGAGUCACACUCAGCUGCGGGGCCUCUACGUGCGACAUCAGCCAUUUGUCUUCAAAACAUUGGCGUUUGUUACAGAGUCCAAAAAGAAAAACCUGUUCCCUGUUGCGGGCCAACAAAAUAUGUAGACCGAGUGCAGUGAGGUUUACCGGAUGACUCGAUAAACAAAGAUUGCUGCGGCCAUAGUGAAGGGGACAAGGACAGGACCGUGGUUUACUAUCAGCUGCUUGGGGGCAAACACGACGUGAACCCACCGGUUGUGGGGAUUGAUUGUGCCGGUGUGGUGGUACGCCGGCCAGGUGAACUGAGCCAUCCAAACAGUGCUCCCUGACCAGCAACAGCCCACCAGCUCCCCUUCCCAGUCUCCGGCUUCAUUGACAGCCAGUCCCACGCCAUGGUGAGUGCCCACCAGACCCUCUGACACCCCAAGGUCGCGCAAGCGGCAGAGGGAGGAUGACAUUUUGGACUACCUUGAGAGGUCUGAUGCUGCUGCGACGGCUGCUUCCGACAAAUUGAUGAUGCCACUGAGGGAGGAUCAGAGCAAGCUACCUCCAGUUGUUCAGCAAGAUAGUGGAAAAUAUCUGAGGCGGGCACGAUAACGGACCAACAAGACUUCUUCCAUUCUAUUUUUUUGUAUCUACUCAUUUUGUAUUUUAUUUGCGUUCAAUCUUUAAUUGACUUUCACCUUUCUAUUUUAUGUUAAAUUAACCUUAUGUUUCAAUUUUAUUUGCACUCAAUCUUUCAUUUUACUAUUUUAACUUUUUAUUUUAAGUUAAAUUAAACUUGUUAAUUGUCCUAGUCUUAUUGUUUUUUGAAAUUUUACAUGGGCA
ensembl:lncRNA